CACGUAGGCGGACCAUUAAGUUAGAGGUGAAAUCCCAGGGCUCAACCCUGGAACUGCCUUUAAUACUGGUGGUCUUGAGUUCGAGAGAGGUGAGUGGAAUUCCGAGUGUAGAGGUGAAAUUCGUAGAUAUUCGGAGGAACACCAGUGGCGAAGGCGGCUCACUGGCUCGAUACUGACGCUGAGGUGCGAAAGCGUGGGGAGCAAACA
rnacentral:rRNA from 1 species